CUUUCAGACGAGGAUAACAGUUGGAAACGACUGCUAAGACUGGAUAGGAAGUUUUAAGGCAUCUUGAAACUUUUAAAAGACCCGCAAGGGUAUGCUGAGAGAUGGGCUUGCGGCACAUUAGUUAGUUGGUAAGGUAACGGCUUACCAAGACCAUGAUGUGUAGCUGGACUGAGAGGUUGAACGGCCACAUUGGGACUGAGAUACGGCCCAAACUCCUACGGGAGGCAGCAGUAAGGAAUUUUCGGCAAUGGAGGAAACUCUGACCGAGCAACGCCGCGUGAACGAUGAAGUAUUUAGGUAUGUAAAGUUCUUUUAUUAAAGAAGAAAAAAUGAUGGAAAAAUCAUUCUGACGGUAUUUAAUGAAUAAGCCCCGGCUAACUAUGUGCCAGCAGCUGCGGUAAUACAUGGGGGGCAAGCGUUAUCCGGAUUUAUUGGGCGUAAAGGGUGCGUAGGCGGUUUAAUAAGUCUAUGGUCUAAGUUCAACGCUUAACGUUGUGAUGCUAUAGAAACUGUUUGACUAGAGUUGGAUAGAGGCAAGUGGAAUUCCAUGUGUAGCGGUAAAAUGCGUAAAGAUAUGGAGGAACACCAGUAGCGAAGGCGGCUUGCUGGGUCUUAACUGACGCUGAGGCACGAAAGCGUGGGGA
rnacentral:rRNA from 1 species